rnacentral:rRNA from 1 species
AGUGAGGAAUAUUGGACAAUGGAAGGAAUUCUGAUCCAGCCAUGCCGCGUGCAGGAAGACUGCCCUAUGGGUUGUAAACUGCUUUUAUACAGGAAGAAAAAAGUGUACGUGUACACUAUUGACGGUACUGUACGAAUAAGGAUCGGCUAACUCCGUGCCAGCAGCCGCGGUAAUACGGAGGAUCCAAGCGUUAUCCGGAAUCAUUGGGUUUAAAGGGUCCGUAGGCGGGAGAUUAAGUCAGUGGUGAAAGUUUGUGGCUCAACCAUAAAAUUGCCAUUGAUACUGGUUUUCUUGAGUUAUUGUGAAGUGGUUAGAAUGAGUAGUGUAGCGGUGAAAUGCAUAGAUAUUACUCAGAAUACCGAUUGCGAAGGCAGAUCACUAACAAUACACUGACGCUGAUGGACGAAAGCGUAGGUAGCGAACAGGAUUAGAUACCCGUG